rnacentral:rRNA from 1 species
UACGUAGGGGGCUAGCGUUGUCCGGAAUCAUUGGGCGUAAAGAGCGUGUAGGCGGUCCGGUAAGUCCGCUGUGAAAGUCAAGGGCUCAACCCUUGGAUGCCGGUGGAUACUGCAGGGCUAGAGUCCGGAAGAGGCGAGUGGAAUUCCUGGUGUAGCGGUGAAAUGCGCAGAUAUCAGGAGGAACACCGAUGGCGAAGGCGGCUCACUGGCCCGAUACUGACGCUGAGGCACGAAAGCGUGGGGAGCAAACAGG